UACGAAGGGGGCUAGCGUUGUUCGGAAUCACUGGGCGUAAAGGGUGCGUAGGCGGGUCUUUAAGUCAGAGGUGAAAUCCUGGAGCUCAACUCCAGAACUGCCUUUGAUACUGAGGAUCUUGAGUACGGGAGAGGUGAGUGGAACUGCGAGUGUAGAGGUGAAAUUCGUAGAUAUUCGCAAGAACACCGGUGGCGAAGGCGGCUCACUGGCCCGUUACUGACGCUGAGGCACGAAAGCGUGGGGAGCAAACAGG
rnacentral:rRNA from 1 species